UACGGAGGGUGCAAGCGUUAAUCGGAAUUACUGGGCGUAAAGCGCACGCAGGUGGCUGAGUCAGUCGAUUGUGAAAGCCCUGGGCUUAACCUGGGAAUUGCAGUCGAUACUACUUAGCUAGAGUAUGGGAGAGGGCAGUGGAAUUCCCGGUGUAGCGGUGAAAUGCGUAGAGAUGUGGAGGAACACCGAUGGCGAAGGCAGCCCCCUGGGCUAACACUGACGCUCAGGCACGAAAGCGUGGGGAGCAAACAGG
rnacentral:rRNA from 1 species